CAUGUUUGAAAAAAUAUCCUUUAACUUCUUGGCCACUUUUAGAUUGGCUAGAGAGAAAAACAGAGAAACAUCUGUGAAAGCAAAUGGUUAACUGCAGGUGCCUGAAUUGCUAUUUUAACUCCAAGGAGGAAACAGUCAUUCAUUGCUGUAGUAGACAGAUGAGACAGAACUUCAGCACAGAGAAUAAAAAUAUAAGGAGAUAGAUGAUCUCCUUGUCUUAAUCCUCUAUUUGGUGUAAUAAAACCUUCUAGAGCUCCACUUAUUAACACUGAAUAUGUGACUGUAGAAAUACAUGACAUGAUCCACCAUAUCCAUUUCUCUCAAAAUCCCAUAUACUGCAUCGUUUCUUGUAGAAAUUUCCAUUCAAGCCGGUCGUAGGCUUUUGUAAUAUAUGUUUUAACCGCCAUGUAAGAGUUAGCUUGCCUCUUUCGAGCCUUAAAACUGUGAAAUAUUUUGUGAGCCACCACUAUACUGUCUGAAAUCAAUCUGCCUCGUAUGAAAGCAUUAUGAUUCUCCGCGACAAUGUUAGGUAGAUGGACCUUCAACCGGUUAACUAAGAUUUUUGAAAUAAUCUUAUAUGAAACAUUGCAUAAAGCAAUGGGACAAAAAUCCUUCAUACCCGUUGGAGGAUAGAUUUUUGGUAUGAAACAGAGGUUUGUAUGAUUAUGUUGUUGAUCCAAUUCACCUAAGUUGAAAAAUUUCUCUUUUUCUUCCGUUAUAUCAGCUUUGCAUUCUACCCAAAACUUCUGAUAGAAGACCGCUGAGAAUUCAUCAGGACAAGAAGCACGAUGGGGUCCCAUAUCAAACAGAGCAUCUUGAAUUUCUUCUUCAGUGACUCGGUCUUACUAAGUCAUCAUUCAUAUCCUGAGCGACCCGCUGUGUAAAACCCGAGAAAACCUCUUCAUAUAGAUCCAAAUUAGUUUCUUCAGAAGCAUAUAAAUUCUGAAAGUAUGUUGUAGCAACAUCUGAAAUUUCUUUAUGACCUUUACAUAUGACUCCUUGAUCAUUUUGGAUGAAACUAAUUGUGUUCCUAACUCGUCUGGCUUUGGUAACUGCAUGAAAUUAACAUUUAUUUCUAUCCCAUGCCCGUAGCUACAUAAUUAUGCUCUUCUGCUUCCAAUAAAUCUCCUCCUCUAAGUAUGCUUGGUGAAGAUCAUCUUUAAUAACAUUCUUUUCCUCUGUAGAAAAGGCACUAGAAAUGAAAGCUUUAUCCAACUUACUCCUUAAAAUCCCAAUCCUUUCCUCGGUGUUGUUUCUGUUAAGUUUUUUCCAUUUGUAGAUAAGUUUUCUGCAUCGACUGAUCAUUUGUGCUAGUGGUACACGAACUAGUACCGAACUAGUUGUGCUUGGCCCAUACCACUCAAUCCUAUACGCACUGAAUCCUGAAAGCCAUCUUUAUUAAACAUACGGUUAUCAUAUCUGAAAAAUCUUCUAGGUAUUUCUCUUUUUGCCGACAUAAAUGUAACCAUUGGACGAUGAUCUGAUUCACCUAUCUUAAGAUACUCCAUAUGAGAGACUGGGUAAAGAUCAAACCAACUACCAUUCGCCAUCGUAUGAUCCAGAUAACAUCUAACAAGAUGUUUUCCUCUUUGACCAGCCCACGAGAAACGAUAUCCCACAGACUGAAGAUCAGUGAAUUCACACACUCGCAUCAUCGUUCUGAAUUCAUGAAAUGAAGCUUCAGGAUGUAUUAUACCCCUAUCUUUUCUUGAUUACUGAUUAUCUCAUUGAAAUCACCAAGUGCAAACCAAAGUUCACUCCUUCUGUUUAUACCAAGUCUCAUCAGUUUUUUUCAAGUAUGAUGUCUUUACACUUGAUUAGGAUGACCAUAGACAAACGACAAGUUCACUGCAGGAAACUUUACAAUCAAUGAGAUUUGCAGAGCUAAUAACAGAAAGCUGAACAUGAUGCUUAAAAAAGAUAACCAAACCACCACCUAUUCCAAAUAGGGAAACUAAAACAGAAUACACAUUGCCAAGCUGAGCACCAACAUCCUAACGUAAUCAUCUUGUUGCUUAAAUUCUUAUAGGCAUAUGAUGUCCGGGAAAUAUUUCCUAUCUAUCUCCUUAAGCCAUCGAACUGUCGAUUCACUGCCUAGACCUCGACAGUUCCAACUGAGUGUCCUCAUGGUGGCAGUGGUGGUUCUGGGCCCACCGCGCCUCUCUGCUCUGCGUGAUCUGCUUCCUGUCCCUCUGCAACCUCUUCCUCGCCAGAUCAUCUCUUUCGCUUCACUUUAUUACUCCUACUAGUUUCCAAGUCUCCAGAUUAGUAAACUUUGACGCAUUGCAUUAGCAUCUUGCAUCCAUGCUUUCCUCUUAUGACUCAUAUUGCCACCAUUGCGAACCUCAUUGAACAUCUCCACAUGGUUGUAAUCCUCUGAGAACAUCAUCUCUCUGUAUGCUCCACUCCAUAACUCUUUAUCAUCAUUCUCUGUCUCCAAAGCCACAACAUUGCACUCAUACUCUGCUUGCACAUGAUCUCCCUCUUGUUCUACUUCUUCUGCUCUUGCCUCAUCCUCAUGUACUUCCUCUAUUAUGACCCCUUGAUUAGGAACCAUCUCCUCCUCAUCAUUAUCGUCCCCAGUAUCAUCAUUGCCAUCAUCUGGUCCAGGCCCUCUAUUGUUGAUAACGAAAGCUCCAGUGUCAUGAGUGAGCAACCCAAAAGCUUCUCAAAAACCACGUAGACACUCAUAUUGGAAGUUGAGAAACGUGUUCACACCAGGGGUGAAUUGAAAGUUUAUCUGAAACUUCAGAGGAUGAGCCACAUUCCAAUUCAACCUUACACGAACAAACUCCAAUGUUCCACCAAGUUCUUCAUUGUACUCCAUCUGAAUGUACUGACCCAUUACUCUUGCGAUAUGACGAUCACUUCACGAUUCAUGAAUUGGUAAGGAAUGCCUCGAAUUUGUAUCCAAAACGGAAUGAAGUUAAGCAACUCCAAAUCCAUCAACGACAUCCACCUCUGCAAGACAAACAUUCGUUCAGCGUAUGCCCAUGGACCUCUCCGAAUAACCGUCUCCAUAGCCUCCUCAUACGGAAACACGAAUUGGAACCAUCUCCUUUCAAUGAUACGACCACAAACAACACCCUCCAAACCCUAGGUUCGAGGCAUAGAUGCUACAAUUUCCCGUAGGAUCUGACGUCUUGGCAUGACUGGUCUUCCAAUGAUGAUGAAGUGAUUCUCCUCCUCCGCUUGUCAGACCACCCCAAAUUGAUAUCUUGAAUUGAUCUUCGUAAACCCUCGGACAUUGUUCUCAGAAAGAUGAUAAAAUUCCAGAAGUAAAUCAAGAGAUUUGCUAACGAAUUGAAGGAAAUUGUGGUAGAAACUUUCCCUAAAAUUAGGAUUUUAUACACACAAAUUCUUCCUAACGGUUGUGUAGUUACUUCAUCACGAAAGAAAAUGGUUUCCUUCGUGGGGGAGGAAACACAUCAUGGGUAGUUUCCGACAAGGACGCCCCAAUCUGUCAUCAAAAUCACAUUCAACCACGAAGAUCGUGGCGAGAAAAUUCAGGAACCCUAGCCGUUCUAAAAUUGCUUUUACAGUCGCCAUUGUACUUUACAAAUUUUUUUAUUGAUUGUAAAUAUUACAUCUAAUGUUUUGAAAUAAUUUCUUUACUUGUUCUUCAAAAUAUUUUACAAUAGAAACUAUAAUAUAUCACUAGAACUUGAUACGCGCCCCCGCGCGGAUGUUUGAUUUAAUUUGUGUUCAACUAAACUCAUAAACCGCUGAUUUUAUAAAAAAAUCUCAUGUAUAUUUUUUAUGUUUUGUAAUUUACACAUAGUAGAAUAUAUUAUUUUAUAAUAUAGAUGUUUGAUAAUAAUUUUUUAUAGGUAGGACAAGGAGAUGUUGGUAUUGCCUCUCUCAAGUUUGAGUACGAGAAUGAAACUAGUGAGAUGAUUGUGGUCAAAGAACAUGGAAAGAAAACGUUGCUUGGUUACCAGGAGUUUGAGGUGGAUUAUCCGAGUGAAUACGUUACAUCUAUAGAAGGUUGUUACGAUAACGUAGUUGGAGCUGGAAGUGGAGUUAUAACAAUGCUUAGGUUCAAGACUAACAAACGCACCUCUCCACCAUUCGGACUCGAAUCUGCUUCCAGCUUUGCCGUCCAGAAGGAAGGUUACAAGAUCGUCGGAUUCCACGGAAAAUCCAGUGCCCUGAUUAAUCAGAUUGGGGUCCAUGUCGUUCCCAUCACCGAGUGACCAAUCAUUUGAAACUAUCCAACGAAUCGUCCUCUCUUGUAUCUGUCUUAGGACAUCUUCAUCUCUACUCCAUAAUUUACUCCAAAAAUGGAGUAUGAACAAAAAAUAAAAAAUUACUCCAUUUAUGGAGUAAACUUUUAUUUUGUUGGUCAUACUCAAUUUUCCAGUCCAUUUUUAGAGAAAAUUAUGGAGUAGGGAUGGAGAUGGUCUUACACCGUUAUUUAUGUUGCAAUAUGAUUUGCUAUCAUGUUGUUGUUUGGCUUGUUUUCCAUUUAUGCAAUCGCAUGUAAUAAGACAAUGUUUCUGUUUCUUAUGUCUACCUUUCUUGAAAGUUGACUUCAGCUCAUAUUUAGCAGACCCAUCCUUAGAGUU